UAUUAAUGUCCAAACUAAAUGCAACGAUAAAGAAUUUAUUAACUGACCUUCUCACUACAUCUAAAAGUGUUCCAUCUAUAUUUAAGAUAAAAUAAUAACUUUUCAUUAUGAUCAAUUAUCAUAAAAUGUCUUAUUUGUAAUGUAGGCUGGUUUGUAAGGAUGAUUGUAUCACGCAUAAAGAGCAGCGUGAACAUUAAUCAGAACAUUUCCUUGUUUUGAACAGAAAGUUAAGUUCGUCGUGAGGCUGAAUGACUAUUAAAAUGUGGUGCAGGAUUUGAAACCGACCAGAAGAUGGCAGUGGAUGAACACUCAAUAGCACCUUUUCAUAAACCAAUAAUGGCCCAAGAUAGUAAACGAGUUUCUUGUAUUACCAAAGAACUCAUUUUGGUCAUAUGCAAUCCAGCUUUAUGUUCCAUUACAGUCCUUCUGAACCUAUCAAGGACAUGCUGACCCAGAAGGAUCCCUAUUACAAAGGCCAAGAAACAUUUAUGGAUACAAUGUCACAUUAUGGAGAACCCGUGUCCAUAUAAUAUGACACAUCAGCAAGUGAAGGCUAAAUGGAGCUGAUGGGGAGAAGAUGACUAGAGCGUGUGUCAUAAACCAGAGAUUCAGGUCAUUUAAAGAUGCCACUAUGAGCUUGAUGCACACAGGUUCAUGAGGGUCUCAGCGGGGGGAAGCGGCAUAGUUCAAGGUCUGAACCAAGAGAGAUGAUGUUGGUCUGGGGAUGUAAUGAAGUCUGGGAGGAGAGCGCAUUAAAUCCUUCCCCUCAGACACAGUCUGCCCCUCUUUCUUGCUCUGGGCAGGGCUGUAACGGGCCGGUGAGUGGAUAAAGAUUAUCGAGCAACCGUGUUGACCGACACUGGCUCACCCUUCUGAAGAGCGGCCAAAGCACCAGGCCAGAACUGUCAGUGGGAGACACGUGGCAAAAAGGACGCGCUCUGGCUCAAUAGGAACAGAGUUUCUGCACGUCGUGGGGGAAAAACGAGACACCCGCUGGUUGGGGGGAAAUGAAAUUCACACCGCCUGCCAAGCACCGGGGCGAUUCAUCACCUCUAAACUGUUCUGCCGCGGCUGGUGUGGAAUAAUUCACCGUUGGGCGACAGGUCAGGCCGCCACGGGAGUGAUCGCACCUGCCCUCUGCUCCUGACGUGCAUCAACCGCCCGAGAGACACACCGCCGGGUGUGCCCUGUCUGGAGCGAUGGUAUACUCCAAUUAACCCUAUUAGCACUAAAGACCCAUGCCAUGACCCCAGUGAUGGAGGAAUUAGCUAGAGCCUCAAAAUGAGACUGAUAACUUGACUAGUUUAUUUACUAAAGCUUACAGUAAAUUUAACUUAUGAAUUGAUCAUAUUUAAGAAUUUUAUAUGCUUAGACUACUAACAUAGAACUUAGUAAAGUAAAUAUGGGGCCUGUAUGAAAAACUUUAAAUUUGCAAUUUUAUCAUUUAUUUGACAAUUUAUAACUAUACAGUCUCCCAGGCUGGUACAAAAAAAAAUCUUUUAAUCAAAAGUUUUUGUUAUUUAUUCAUGUUGUUCUUGUCUUUAUUCCCAAAAGACGGUCAAAUAAAACAUUUCUCUCACGUGCACGGCCACGCAAAACGACGCCAUAUGGAGCCAGCGUGCGUUGCCGGAAGUGUCGCGAUGGCGCCAGUUUUUCACGCUCAACUUCACAUGUGGGGAUGCGUUAAAAUCGGUUCGAAGAUUUGAACACCUGCUGGAAGGGACUGUAUAUUCACAAAACAUAAUUAAUAUGUAUAUUAUAUCGCUUGAGUUUUAUUUAGGACGUUUUUAAGAUGGCUGGCGUUUAGUUAUCUGAGCUCCAGGUGAAAAAGGACAAUUUGGGUUGUACGAGGGAAACCAUGACAGAUAAGAGACCAGAAAAUUACUGACAGAAAGCAUUUAAAAGUAGUAUUAAGUUGCAUGAUACCUUCACAUGUUUGAGGUGAAGUAGGAGGAUUGGCAUAGUUUUGGAUCAGUUGUUCUGGAGAAUGAUUGGACUGCAGAGUGAAAGUCACCGUACGGAGCCAUUUGCUUUUUUUUGAGGGAGGCUGAAAUCAAUAAGCUUAGGUUCGCAGUUUUGAGUUGCAGCAUGCUGAAAAUUCAGUUUGGCCAUAACAGCUAAUAGUCUCGGAGACGGUAAUAAAUCUCGACUGGCCCGGUUGAGACAGACGAGCGGCGACGUUGACGGAUGGUGAGGAAUUUACAGGAUUACAGGUGGAGUCGGCUGAUUGAUUGGGUUUGCGUUGCACACGAGAAGAAUUACUGUCGGAAGAUGCGAGAUGAUGGGCUGAUGUAUUGCUCAGCCAAGCCUGAUGAAGAGGGGAAAAUGGACUUGAACAAUGGUUUUACAAGCUUCCAUCUCACUCCCAUUCACUUCUGUGGCACCAUGUCUGUGUGAACCUGGUGCUUUUCCAGAAUUCUAAAAAAGAACCCAAUUAUUCUUUGACAAGAACAAGCUGGCAAUAGCAGUUCAAUCAUAUACUGAUGUAGGACCUGUAGGCCAUAAACACACUGCAGCUAAAUACAG